rnacentral:rRNA from 1 species
UACGUAGGGACCGAGCGUUGUCCGGAUUCAUUGGGCGUAAAGAGCUCGUAGGCGGCUGCUCAAGUCGAAUGUGAAACCUCGAGGCUUAACCUCGAGCCUGCAUUCGAUACUGGGCGGCUAGAGUCUGGUAGGGGGAUCUGGAAUUCCUGGUGUAGCGGUGAAAUGCGCAGAUAUCAGGAGGAACACCGAUGGCGAAGGCAGGUCUCUGGGCCACUACUGACGCUGAGAAGCGAAAGCAUGGGGAGCGAACAGG